rnacentral:lncRNA from 1 species
GGAUACAUGGCAGUUUGGCUUUGGUGGUGGGUAACUACACAACUUCAUCUUGAAUAUGUUUUAUGCAAAUCAAUAGCAUGCUUUGAAUGAAAAUAGGCAUGAGUUCUAGCAUUUGGAACUAAAUGAAAUGAAACGCCUUCUAAGUAAUAACCAAGCAAAGAAUAAUGAGGUCAUGCAACGACUUUAGAAAACAAGAAUGCACAGAUUUUAACUCUCCAAAUAAACGUUUAAGCUCAAGUCUCACAAGGUUGUAGCGUUAGUUUGAGUUCUUUCCUUCAAGCAUGUUACAAAAACUAAUUUUUCUUUUAUGAUUACAUGUGAUUUCAUAAGUUAUAACCACAACCACGCAUAAAUAAAGAGUAAAUCAAACCUUCAUCCAUGUUUAUAACUCUCUUUAACAGUCAUGCAAUUACAAACCAAAUCCUCAUCAUUGUGUUGGAAGGUACCCUAAGACACAAAUAAGCGCACAAAAACAACUCUUUUUUGGAUUUUCAAAAACAAUUUUUCAAAUUUUUAUGAAUUUUCGGAUUUUUAUGUCAAAACACACUGAAACACUCCAAAAUAGCUUAAAAAUACUUAAAACAACAAGGAACAACACUAGAAGUAAUGGGUGAUAAAUUUCUACGAAUUUCAUGC